AGCGCCGAGCUGAUUGGACUCGAACCUGGUCUGCCUCUUUAAGACGACGAUCUCCUGUUGAAGAGGGAGGUUGGCCGGUGUUUUUCCACGCACGGGUCACCCAUUUUAAAAGACAGAGGUCAGAAACAAAACCUUAUAAAUACACAUUACCGACGUAAUUCUCACUAUUCAUCACUCGCCCGACGCUCUACACUGAAGGGACAGCUCAAUUCUAAAGGAAUAAAAGGAAUUCAAGCAGAUACAGAUGACUAUAUGGUGCAAUGACCUGGGUGCCAGUCAGGGCCAUGCAGUGCGCUGAACGUUUAGAGGGUACAGGUGGACCUGCAUGGCACAGAAGGAGAAACUCCAGUGUCUGAAAGACUUCCACAAGGACACACUGAAGCCUUCCCCAGGGAAGAGCCCAGGCACUCGUCCUGAGGAUGAGGCUGAAGGGAAGCCUGUACAGAGGGAGAAGUGGAACUCAAAGCUUGACUUCAUCCUGUCUGUCGCAGGUGGCUUUGUGGGGUUAGGAAACGUCUGGCGCUUCCCUUACCUCUGCUACAAGAACGGCGGAGGUGCAUUUCUCAUCCCGUACUUCAUCUUCCUCUUUGGCGGAGGUCUCCCUGUGUUUUUCCUGGAGGUGGCCCUUGGUCAGUACACAUCUGAGGGUGGAAUCACCUGCUGGGAAAAGCUUUGUCCCAUCUUUACUGGUAUCGGCUAUGCUUCCAUUGUGAUCGUGUCUCUCCUCAACAUCUACUAUAUUGUGAUCCUGGCAUGGGGGCUGUACUACCUGUUCCAGUGCUUCCAGCCGGAGCUGCCCUGGGCUCGCUGUAAGAACUCCUGGAACACAGACCGCUGUGUGGAAGACACCAUCCGCAAAAACAAAACCCUGAUGCUGGCUGCUAACAUUACUAACUUCACUUCACCAGUCACAGAGUUCUGGGAACGAAAUGUCCUCAGCAUCUCACGUGGCAUCGAUGAGAUCGGGGAGGUGAAGUGGGACUUGGCUUUGUGUCUGCUGGGCGUUUGGAUCAUCUGCUUCUUCUGCAUCUGGAAGGGAGUCAAAUCAACUGGCAAGGUGGUUUAUGUCACUGCCACAUUCCCCUUCGUCAUGCUGAUCAUUCUGUUAAUCCGUGGUGUCACUCUCCCCGGAGCAGCUGAAGGAAUCAAGUUCUACUUGUACCCAGACUUGCAACGACUCAAAGACCCCGAGGUUUGGAUUGAUGCCGGCACUCAGAUCUUCUUCUCCUAUGCCAUAUGUCUGGGAGCAAUGACAUCACUGGGGAGCUACAACAAGUACAAAUAUAACUGCUACAGGGACUGUUUGCUGCUGGGAGGCCUCAACAGCGGUACCAGUUUUGUGUCUGGCUUCGCAAUAUUUUCCGUCCUGGGCUUCAUGGCACAAGAGCAAGGGGUGGACAUUGCCGAUGUGGCAGAGUCAGGUCCUGGCCUAGCCUUCAUUGCCUACCCUAAAGCUGUGUCCAUGAUGCCGCUGCCCACCUUCUGGGCCAUUCUCUUCUUCAUCAUGCUUCUGCUACUGGGUCUCGACAGUCAGUUUGUCGAAGUGGAAGGACAGAUCACCUCCUUGGUGGAUCUGUAUCCCUCCUUCCUAAGGAAGGGUUACCGUCGGGAAAUCUUCAUAGCUAUAGUGUGUUCCAUAAGCUAUCUUCUGGGACUGACUAUGGUUACUAGAGGAGGCAUGUAUGUGUUUCAGCUCUUUGACUACUAUGCAGCCAGUGGUGUUUGCCUUCUGUGGGUUGCAUUCUUUGAAUGUGUUGCUGUAGCCUGGGUUUAUGGCGUUGAUAAUUUCUAUGAUGCGAUUGAGGACAUGAUUGGCUACAGACCAAACCCCUGGAUGAAAUGGAGCUGGUCUGUGAUCACGCCUUUUCUUUGUGUGGGUUGCUUCGUCUUCUCUUUGGUCAAAUAUAAACCAUUGACAUACAACAAGGUUUAUGAAUACCCUGACUGGUCCAUCGGUGUGGGCUGGACCCUGGCUCUAGCUUCCAUGAUCUGUAUACCUAUGGUAGUUGUCAUCAAGAUCAUUCAGUCUGAUGGACCACUCAUAGAGAGGAUCAAGGCUGUGGCCGCGCCUCUGGGAGGGGCUAGCUCCCGUCCAGUCGACCACCGUCCAAAAGGCAAGGCUGAUGAGCUGACCUACCCCCUGGACCCCAAUGGGAACAACGGCCCGAUCAAGCCCACCCACACUAUUGUAGAAACCAUGAUGUGAGCACUCUCUGUGAGAGGAACGAAUUUUAAAAACAUGACCUGCUUUCCAUGUCAAUAUACUUCAUCGCUAAACGUUGAAACUAGUUUUAGGACCAAGUUUACAUUGCUAUUAUCUGCACUAGGAGUCUACUUUUUGUUUAGUUUUCUACAGAGGACGUUACAUUUUCUGUCUGUUUUUAACAUUUUUUUGUAUUAAACUAUUAUUGUUAAUGUUACUGUUAUUAUGCGAUUGAGGUAGUUAGAAGGAAACAUUAAAUCUCCAAUUAACUUGGAGCAGCAGUAUCUUAUAACAAUAGAAUCAGUGUUCUAUUUUUAAUUUCUUUCUUGUAUGAUUGUAAGUGGUCUGUCUCUAUUUUGGGCUGGAAUCUUUUUUUAAGACUAAGAAGAAAACAUACUUAAAUAAUACAAAGGGCCAUAUAAAACCGUAAGAACUAAAUGUUUGUUGUAUUUUUGAGCAGAAACAUUUGACUAUGUUAUGUUGGUGUAUCUAGAUAAACCCGUCCCUUCUCUCUUUUCAGCUUAACUAUUGUCUCUCGUAUGAUAACGUUGUGCAGGUGGUGCUCUUGUAUACAGUGAGAUUAGUUGAGUGCUUGUCGUCAAUGUUUGUUGUAAAAUUACAGCUAAACGUACCUUCACUCUCAGAGGAUUUCACCUACAGAUGUUGUUGGCCACUAAAAUGUCACAUUUAAUUUAAAGAUUACAGCUUUUUGUGUGAAGCUAUUGAUUGAGGGCUCUUGAAUGCCUUGUGGAAAUUAUUCUGCCAAUAUAGAGACUAUAACAGAGCAGAGCACCUUUAGAUAUCAAUGCCAUGACCUUUACCUGGCUAUAAAGAUGAGACCUUUAUCCAUCUCUAUGGCCUGGCUCUGACUGGGGCGGAUCACUACAGAUCCUGACCUCCUAGUAUACUUUUAUCUAUCUCUAUGGCCUGGCUCUGACAGUGGAGGUUCACUACAGAUCUUGACCUCCCAGUAGACCUUUAUCCAUGUCUAUGGCCUGGCUCUGACUGGGGAAGAUCACUACAGAUCCUGACCUCCCAGUAGACCUUUAUCCGUCUCUGUGGCCUGGCUCUGACAGUGGAGGUUCACUACAGAUCCUGACCUCCCAGUAUACUUUUAUCCGUCUCUAUGGCCUGGCUCUGACUGUGGAGGAUCAUUACAGAUCCUGACCUCCCAGUAGACCUAUAUCCAUCUCUAUGGCCUGGCUCUGACUGGGGAAGAUCACUACAGAUCCUGACCUCCCAGUAGACCUUUAUCCGUCUCUGUGGCCUGGCUCUGACAGUGGAGGUCCACUACAGAUCCUGACCUCCCAGUAUACUUUUAUCCGUCUCUAUGGCCUGGCUCUGACAGUGGAGGAUCAUUACAGAUCCUGACCUCCCAGUAGACCUUUAUCCGUCUCUAUGGCCUGGCUCUGACUGUGGAGGAUCAUUACAGAUCCUGACCUCCCAGUAGACCUUUAUCCGUCUCUAUGGCCUGGCUCUGACUGUGGAGGAUCAUUACAGAUCCUGACCUCCCAGUAUACUUUUAUCCGUCUCUAUGGCCUGGCUCUGACUGUGGAGGAUCACUACAGAUCCUGACCUCCCAGUAGACCUUUAUCCGUCUCUAUGGCCUGGCUCUGACUGUGGAGGGUCCUUACAGAUCCUGACCUCCUAGUAGGUUAUACGUUUAUACAUACAUCUAGACACAGAGAUGGCCCCGUUGCAUUUCAAACUCCACUAGCCUAUGCACCACUGCUGUAUACCAGCCAUCUAUCUCUGCAGUGUAUACAGCGGCUUCAAAUGUUUAAACAUUUGGAUUUAAUCUUUGCACCUAAUACUUCAGUGUGUCUUCAUUUAUUCUUAGUUUUUUUGGUCUCUUCUCCUGUUGCUAGCUUCAGGUAGACAAUCUGACAUACUGGCAAGUGAAUAAGAAGCACAACAUAAAGCUCAUAGCAUCUAUUUAGUUAAUUGAUAAUUAACAAACUUUUCACAUGCAAGCAGACUACUUUUCAAUCAAAUAAAAUAUUAACAUUUAUUUUCUGUAGUCUAGGUCAGUAUAUAUUCUGAUGUAACUGGUAAUAAAUAUAGUAUAUAAUUUAAUAUACUUUAAUAUACUGACUAAUAUAAUCCACUCCCUCCAGCAACGCACACUCCAUAUCUAUUGGUUUUCAUAUCUAAGCUUAGUUUUAACUGUUAUUAUUGCAGAUAAAAUCCAAUCAAAGCAUUUUUGUUUAUAAGCAUUAAUAUUCUUACAAUGGAAUGUUAAAAUGUGAAACAACAUAUGGAACAGAAGCUUCGGUUGAUCCUUGUCAUAUUAUUAUAUUGAAAGAAAUCUCCUUUUUUUAUGUUGUAUAAAAUUUUAAAGCAUUGUUUGUUUUAUUUUGAAUGUUUUUCAAUCAUAUUUUUAGCCUUUUGUAUUCAGAAUUUAAAUGUCCAACAACCAUCCUGUGUCCACUCAGCCUGAUAAUGUUUUCUAAGUAUGAAUUGUCAUUUAUUAACUUACUUUUAAUCAACAAACUGCAAUUUGUAAUGUGCAAUACUUUGUAGAAAGUAGUUUUUUCACUCUUUUAAACUUUGCAAGAGAUACAAUUAUCACAAUUUCAGGGGCCAAUAAAAACCUACCACCAAAUAUUAUGCCAUCAUAUAAACAAAGAAAUAAACGUCAGUGCGGUGGAUUGGCUGUCUGUCAGAACACAGAUGGGAAUUUUAUUUAUGUUCAUCAAAAUAUAAGCAUUUUAUAUCAGAACGGUGCAAUGAAAGCUAAUCCUGCCAUUUUAUAAAUGUUGACUUGAUUUUUUUGUGCUAGUUGGAAUUGGCCUGUGAAGAAGUGACAUUAUGAAAUGAUGCUGCUGCCUGAAUCUAUCUACCACAGUGCAGCUUUCUAUAGGAGAUGUAACAAACCACAAAUGCUGGUAGUUAACUAGCUAGGUACCAAACGUGCUAGGUACCAAACACACUUAUGGAAAUACCAAACAAGAAAUUAUUGCAGUGAAGAUGUUCACACCCUGUCCCACUGAUGGAGAUUGGAGAAGGCUUUGUUGUGUCUUUAAUGGCUCUCUUUUGUUUAUAGUGCACUACUUUUGACAGAGGUAUCUGGUGUAUAGAAGUGCAUUGAACAGAUGGUGGCAUUUCUGUUAAUAUAACCUGUCUAGUCAGGCAGCCUUCUCCUCCCUGUACUUAAAAGCAUAAUAUUAAACUUCUUUAACUCAUAUACAUUACAAACCAGCCAAUGCUUUUUAAGAAUGUACAAGGGGAAAUUAUUUUAUAAUCCUUGAAAAAAACACUUAAAAAAACAAUUUCAAAGAUUUAUUUUUUAUUUCUAUCGCACUAAUUAAAAUGUACAGCAAAAAUGUAUAUUUAAAAAGGGUUUCACUGAGAAAAACAGAAAACCCUUUUUAUUCUUUAAUAAACAAAAAAGCUUUUCUCAUGUGCAGUGAGUGUCCUAUAGUUACUUUUUAGUCUAUGGACCUCAGAAAAAGCAGUAUAAAGUUUGCACUUUAGUCAACAAAUUUCAUAUCAUUCAUAUUAUUAUUAAAAAUAGUUGAUUGGAUUUAUAUAGCUCUUUUUCAGAUGCUCGAAGCACUUUACAUAAAAGGGGUAAUUCUACUUGCCGCCCACUUGGGUAAUGACAAAGCAGCCGUUUUAAAAAUGAAAUCCCACUGCCCAUCAUUAUGUUAUAGGAGAGGUGAGGUGGACCCGUUGUCCAGAGGAUGAACCCAGUGUCCCAAACACUCGUAGGGUAAAGCCUUUAAACCAAACACUUAUCUGAGGCAGUUUGGCCUCUUGUCCCCUAUGACCACACAACAAUGCUUUUUCCAAGGCAGACUAUUUUAAUAUCAAUAUUUACUUAACACCUGCAGUUUAAAGGGACUCAACAUACAUUUUCCCCCAAUAUAUAACUCAAAUUAGAUUUGUUUCAUAAACAUCUAGCUUACUUGU